rnacentral:lncRNA from 1 species
GCAUGCCAUUUAAUUAUCCAGGGAUUGUGAUGUUUGUUGAUAGCCAAAAGAAUUAGCUGGAGAAAAAUAGUUGUGAUUAGUUCUUCAGUUCAAUAUAUUUAUUUUAUUCGUCAUUAUCAAAAACUUGGAUUGGAGGCUGGUGGAGCAUGGAAAGUUAUCGUGCUUUUGAAGCACUUGGAGAAAGUAUCAGAAGCAAAAGAUUUGACAUCCUGUUUCCUUUUAAUUUAUCUCUUUGAGAACAAAGACAUCAUCUGAGGUACUGAAUUAUUGAU